rnacentral:rRNA from 1 species
GUGCCAGCCGCCGCGGUAAUACGUAGGUGGCAAGCGUUGUCCGGAUUUAUUGGGCGUAAAGCGAGCGCAGGCGGUUUCUUAAGUCUGAUGUGAAAGCCCCCGGCUCAACCGGGGAGGGUCAUUGGAAACUGGGAGGCUUGAGUGCAGAAGAGGAGAGUGGAAUCCCAUGUGUAGCGGUGAAAUGCGUAGAUAUAUGGAGGAACACCAGUGGCGAAGGCGGCUCUCUGGUCUGUAACUGACGCUGAGGCUCGAAAGCGUGGGGAGCAAACAGGAUUAGAAACCCCCGUAGUCC